rnacentral:rRNA from 1 species
CCUACGGGUGGCAGCAGUGAGGAAUAUUGGUCAAUGGACGAGAGUCUGAACCAGCGAAGUAGCGUGAAGGAUGACUGCCCUAUGGGUUGUAAACUUCUUUUAUAUGGGAAUAAAACGUUCCACGUGUGGGAUUUUGUAUGUACCAUAUGAAUAAGGAUCGGCUAACUCCGUGCCAGCAGCCGCGGUAAUACGGAGGAUCCGAGCGUUAUCCGGAUUUAUUGGGUUUAAAGGGAGCGUAGGUGGAUUGUUAAGUCAGUUGUGAAAGUUUGCGGCUCAACCGUAAAAUUGCAGUUGAAACUGGCAGUCUUGAGUACAGUAGAGGUGAGCGGAAUUCGGGGUGUAGCGGUGAAAUGCUUAGAUAGCACGAAGAACUCCGAUUGCGAAGGCAGUUCACUGGACUGCAACUGACACUGAGGCUCGAAAGUGUGGGUAUCAAACAGGAUUAGAUACCCGUGUAGUC